rfam:Gossypium arboreum cultivar AKA8401 contig_17076_3, whole genome shotgun sequence.
AAUGGGAGAAUGACAAAUCAGAUUUUUCCUCCUAAUUUUCAUCUUUUUUCUCUUGAAAAAUUCAAAUCCAAGUAAAAAUACUGAAAAUCAGGAGGAAAAAUCUGAUUCGUCAUUCUCCCAUU